GGACACAAUCGUAAUUGGACUAGCAGCAGACUCAGGGUGUGGGAAAAGUACCUUCAUGAGAAGGUUGACCAGUGUGUUUGGAGGUGCAGCAGAGCCACCAAAGGGAGGGAAUCCUGAUUCCAACACACUGAUAAGUGACACAACGACAGUGAUAUGUUUGGAUGAUUAUCAUUCAUUGGAUAGAACAGGGAGGAAAGUGGAAGGGGUUACAGCAUUGGAUCCAAGAGCCAAUAAUUUUGAUCUUAUGUAUGAACAGGUUAAGGCUCUUAAAGAUGGUAUCGCUGUUGAUAAGCCUAUUUAUAACCAUGUCAGUGGUCUUUUGGAUCCCCCAGAGCUCAUCAAGCCCCCUAAGAUCCUUGUAAUUGA
rnacentral:lncRNA from 1 species